AAACAAAAGCCAAGUCAGAUCCCGAGCAGCUUGUUGGCUACGUGGAGUAGGGAGGAUUGGGCCUCCUGCCCACACCAGAGGGAGCCAACUCCUGCCUGGCGCUGUGAGGGUGACGAGCCCCUGGGCCUCUAGCUCCCUCUGAAGAUGGUGCCCACCCUUAGGCUGGCUCUGGGCUGACUCUGAUGGAAACGGGGUGAGGGCACCACAGAUCCAGGAGGGGAGGAGAGACCUGUCACCAUCCACAGACUCAGAGCACGCAUGAGAAAAACUGCAAGACCACCAUGCCUAGUCCCUGCCCAGCUGCUUCUCCAGAACUGUUUACUGCUCUGCGGAUCACAGAAGAGACAGGGAGCUGCGUCUCCUCACGCUGAAAGCUGUCAGUAACUUCUCGGCACCUACCUGUAUUCAUUCGGCCUUCCCCGGGGCCUGUCUGCCGGGUUGUCCGAAAUGCUGGCAGUUGUCUUCCAGGCACCUUCAAAAGCCAGCGCUUUAAGGAAGAUCACUGACGUGUAUGCCUUGGUAUGUGUGCGUUAGGGUGUUAUCUUCUCUUAAAAGUCACCCUUACCCCAGGGUCACACUGCUAGGAAACUGCAGAGCAGGAGAUUGAGCCCAGAUCAGCCCACUCCAUCCAGAACGGAAAAUCACCCACAUCUGCAUGUCAUUGAAGCCUCACUCUGCUCUGUGGAGGAGGACACUCAAGUUCAGCUCACAGGGAGAAAGCAGAAGCUAACCGUACCAUACCAACAGGCUGCCUUGGGCUGUCUGGAUUCCCCAGGCACACGCCUCCUCCAGGAAGUUUCCAGAGAUGCAGCCUACCUCCAUGUAGUUACCCCAUGACGGUCACCCACCCCCAAGACUGAUGCCCACAGCAAGAGAGGGAGGGUACCAACGUCCAUGUCCGGAAGGCUCUACCAGCUUCACCAGGAUUCCAAGUGGAGCCACCUGGGAAGGAACACCUGGCCCAGGUUUGGGAAUGGAGCAGCAGGUGGCUGCUAAGCCGCAGUAGUCCCCACAGAGCGGUACUGAAGAAGAAGGCUCCCACUGUCCAUCAGGGCCCUGGGCAGUUCUGUCCUCCAUUGUGUCCUGGUCUGUGACUCAGGUGCACACACCUGAAUAAUUGCUCCCAAUGCCCUCAGAGCUUGCCCAAAUCUAGUGUGUGAGCCCUGCCUGGGUGGCUGUUCACAGGCAGGUUCCCAGUUCCUCCCCAGCAGAUUCUGGGUCUGAGGACCCCAGAGCUCCAGUCUGACUUCAUGACAGGGCCCUGAGCUCCCAGUGCUCUAACCUGCCUGCCUAGGCUGGGGUCAGGCUGUGGUCUCAUCCGGGGUCAAAGGAAUCUCAGGUCACUGAACUUGGACAAGAAAAAAAGUUACCUCAUGUCACAGUUGCUGGUCAAAAUACGGGAUUUCCUUGUGCUGGGAACCGCAUGAAGACCUGUCACAGUGUAUUCCCAAUGACUACACAACCUUCAUGCCCUCCACUGUGUGACCACACACAGUUGGUGGGGCACUCGGGGUAGCUCUGCCUUGAAGGCUUCUGCACAGAUCUGUGAGGGUGGCUCUUCAAAAUCAUUAAAACUGCACUCUCAGAAGUAUCCACAGGGUGCUCCCAGCCACCUGGGAGGCCACGGCACCCCAGCAUCCUGAUCCCAGCAGGGCACCACACCGGGUGUGGAAACUGCUCCCUUUGACAAUCCUCCUGGGUAGCAGUAUGGGCAGAACUCUGGUCUCUCCUUGAAGUUGUG